AAAUCGUGGGAUGAGUUGUGGUUAGGGGUGAAAUGCCAAUCGAACUCGGAGCUAGCUGGUUCUCCCCGAAAUGCGUUGAGGCGCAGCGAUUGACGAUGAGCUGCCUAGGGGUAAAGCACUGUUUCGGUGCGGGCUGCGAGAGCGGUACCAAAUCGUAGCAAACUAAGAAUACUAGGCAUGUCCUUCCGGCAAUCAGUGAGACAGUGGGGGAUAAGCUCCAUUGUCAAGAGGGAAACAGCCCAGAUCACCAGCUAAGGCCCCAAAAUGAUCGCUAAGUGGAAAAGGAGGUGAGAGUGCAGAAACAGCCAGAAGGUUUGCUUAGAAGCAGCCACCCUUUAAAGAGUGCGUAAUAGCUCACUGGUGGAGCGUUCUCGCGCCGAAAAUUUACGGGACUAAGCGGUCUGCCGAAGCUGUGGGAUAGAUGUAUAAAUUUGUUUGAGAGUCUGUUCACUUUGUCAUCACUUUGCCUGCAAAGUGAGAAAGUGAAAAAAAAUGAUGACAAAACAUUCAAGAGAGAUGCAUGUAUCGGUAGGGGAGCGUUCCGCUCUAGGGUGAAGCAAGGGUGUAAACACUUGUGGACGAAGCGGAAGUGAGAAUGUCGGCUUGAGUAACGCAAACAUUGGUGAGAAUCCAAUGCCCCGAAAACCUAAGGCUUCCUUCACUAGGUUCGUCCAUGGAGGGUUAGUCGGGUCCUAAGGCAAGGCCGAAGGGCGUAGUCGAUGGAAAACAGGUUAAUAUUCCUGUACUUCCUCUUGGUAGGCACCGAGGGACGAAGGAGGCACGAGAUGGCUAAAAUUGGAUUUUAGUGGAAGUGUACAAGGCAAAGAGGACCAGAAGAGAAACUGAGUCUAAGCUGAGUCACCACACGGCCCCACAACUAGUCGAUCCCCUGUGGAUUUGCUUAGUGGGGCUUAUCUCUCCCUGUCAAACUUCCUAGAAAAGCUCGAACUGCUUUGUUACCAAGAGGAACCCGUACCCCAAACCGACACAGGUAGGUGGGUAGAGAAUACCUAGGGGCGCGAGAUAACUCUCUCUAAGGAACUCGGCAAAAUGGCCCCGUAACUUCGGGAGAAGGGGUGCCCCCGCAAGGGGGCCGCAGUGACCAGGCCCAGGCGACUGUUUACCAAAAACACAGGUCUCCGCUAAGUCGCAAGACAACAUAUGGGGGCUGACGCCUGCCCGGUGCCGGAAGGUGAAGGAAGUUGGUUAUCCUUUAGGAGAAGCUGGCGACCGAAGCCCCGGUGAACGGCGGCCGUAACUAUGACGGUCCUAAGGUAGCGAAAUUCCUUGUCGGGUAAGUUCCGACCCGCACGAAAGGCGUAACGAUCUGGGCACUGUCUCAGAGAGAGACUCGGUGAAAUAGACAUGUCCGUGAAGAUGCGGGCUUCCUACACCUGGACAGAAAGACCCUAUGAAGCUUUACUGUAGCUUGGAAUUGGGUUUGGGCCCCUUUUGCGCAGCCUAGGUGGGAGGCUAUGAGAGUCCUCUUCCGGGAGGGCUGGAGCCAUCAGUGAGAGACCACUCUGGAGGGGCUAGAAUCCUAACGGUGUUCCUUGAAACAGGACGCUUAACAGUUUCAGGUGGGCAGUUUGACUGGGGCGGUCACCUCCUAAAAGGUAACGGAGGUGUGCAAAGGUUCCCUCAGGCUGGACGGAAAUCAGCCGUAGAGUGUAAAGGCAUAAGGGAGCUUGACUGCAAGACCUACAAGUCGAGCAGGGGCGAAAGCCGGCCUUAGUGAUCCGACGGUGCCGCGUGGAAGGGCCGUCGCUCAACGGAUAAAAGUUACUCUAGGGAUAACAGGCUGAUCUUCCCCAAGAGUUCACAUCGACGGGAAGGUUUGGCACCUCGAUGUCGGCUCAUCGCAACCUGGGGCGGUAGUACGUCCCAAGGGUUGGGCUGUUCGCCCA
rnacentral:rRNA from 1 species